AUUUGGGCAAAGUGUAGAUUUUAUGUUAGUAGUGGGGCCUCCUUUGGUAAUCUUCUUUUGAGAUAUGUCAUGGGCAAUGAAGGGGCUCCAUCUAAUUUUCAUUGCUUUGGUUCUUUGGAGAGAUACAAGUGGAUUCGGAGUGUGGAAUACAACCUCUGUUGUUGAUUGGCAAGCUGGACGCUCUAAUGCAACAUGGAACCAAAAUUUUCACUUCGCUACGCCUGUUCAAGCUUUGGAGCUACUGUCCAGAAAAAGUGCAAAUGGAAAUGUUGACGGAGGAAAUUCUAGUAGUUUCAGUUAUACUUCAGAAGUCCAAACUGCUCAACAGGAUUCUAGUUUUGUUCAGUCUUCUGGUGGUGCUGCUCAAGGUAAACCUGUACUAAAUGCUCAAGGUCAAGCAACUCCCAUGGUUCAACCGCAGGACAACUUGAUGACUCAGUCCUCAAGGCUCUAUUGGUUUGAAUCUCUCAAGCCUGAAAACUGUGGCACUUUGCUCUCUCAAUCUUGGCCUCAAAAAGGUCAGAAUAACGGUGGAUUCCAAAGACCAUCCAGGUUCCAGUUUGGAGGCACUGCAAACCAGACAUCUGGAUCCCAGACCCAGUCGUCAUACCAGCCUAGCACCACAACACAGGUUCAGACAGGCGAGUCUAUUGCCCAGCCUGAGUCUUUCGGAGCUUCAGCUUCAUAUCCAAGUCAAACCUCUGGCAUGUACUCUGUUGUACAGGGUCCUCUGAUUGCAUCCUCUUCCCAAAUGCCUGGGUUCCACAUCCAGUCAUCAUACCAGCCUGGCACCACAACACAGGUUCAGACAGGCCAGUCUGCGUCUACAUCUCAGGCUCAGUCCUCUGGUGCGUCAACGUUGUAUCAAGGGAUUAGCUCUGGCAGGUAUCUGACUUCACUGGGUCAUAUAAUUCCAUCCUCCUCCCAGUCUGUGGUCACUACAAACCAGACAUCUGGAUCCCAGACCCAGUCAUCAUACCAGCCUAGCACUACAACGCUCCUUCAGACAGGCCAGCCUGUUCUUCCUCAGAGUCAGCCUUCGGGAGCUUCUGCUUCAUAUCCAAGUCAAACCUCUGGCGUGUACAAUAUUGCACAGCGUCCAUUGACUGCAACCCUUUCCGAAAUACCUGGGUUCCACAUCCAGUCAUCAUACCAGCCUGGCACUACAACACUGCUUCAGACAGGCCAGUCUGCGUCUACAUCUCAGGCUCAGUCCUCUGGUGCAUCAACAUUGUAUCAAGGAAUUAGGAGGAAUGUGACUUCUCUGGGUCAUGGCUUUCCAUACUCAACCCAGUCUGUGGUGACUGCAAACCAGACAUCUGGAUCCCAGACCCAGUCAUCAUACCAGCCUGGCACUACAACACUGCUUCAGACAGGCCAGUCUGCUCCUACAUCUCAGGCUCAGUCCUCUGGUGCAUCAACAUUGUAUCAAGGAAUUAGGAGAAAUGUGACUUCUCUGGGUCAUGGCUUUCCAUACUCAACCCAGUCUGUGGUGACUGCAAACCAGACAUCUGGAUCCCAGACCCAGUCAUCAUACCAGCCUGGCACCACAACACUGCUUCAGACAGGCCAGUCUGCUUCUACAUCUCAGGCUCUUGGCAGCCCUGGAGCUGCACCUUCAGGACAUGCUAAAUGGUACACCAUUGUACAAGGUCAGACAAUUCCAUCUUCUCAAGCGUCUGAAUCCCAGACCCAGUCAUCAUACCAGCCUAGCACUACAACACUGCUUCAGACAGGCCAGCCUGUUCUUCCUCAGAGUCAGCCUUCGGGAGCUUCUGCUCCAUAUCCAAGUCAACACUCAGGCGUGUACAAUAUUGCACAGCGUCCAUUGACUGUAACCCUUUCCGAAAUACCUGGGUUCCACAUCCAGUCAUCAUACCAGCCUGGCACCACAACACAGGUUCAGACAGGCCAGUCUGCGUCUACAUCUCAGGCUCAGUCCUCUGGCGCAUCAACGUUGUAUCAAGGGAUUAGCUCUGGCAGGUAUCUGACGUCACUGGGUCAUAUAAUUCCUUCCUCCUCCCAGUCUGUGGUCACUACAAACCAGACAUCUGGAUCCCAGACCCAGUCAUCAUACCAGCCUGGCACUACAACACUGCUUCAGACAGGCCAGUCUGCUUCUACAUCUCAGGCUCAGUCCUCUGGUGCAUCAACAUUGUAUCCAGGGAUUAGGAGGAAUGUGACUUCUCUGGGUCAUGGCUUUCCAUACUCAACCCAGUCUGUGGUGACCGCAAACCAGACAUCUGGAUCCCAGACCCAGUCAUCAUACCAGCCUAGCACUACAACACUCCUUCAGACAGGCAGGCCUGUUCUUCCUCAGAGUCAGCCUUCGGGAGCUUCUGCUUCAUAUCCAAGUCAAACCUCUGGCGUGUACAAUAUUGCACAGCGUCCAUUGACUGCAACCCUUUCCGAAAUACCUGGGUUCCACAUCCAGUCAUCAUACCAGCCUGGCACCACAACACAGGUUCAGACAGGCCAGUCUGCGUCUACAUCUCAGGCUCAGUCCUCU
ensembl:lncRNA